rnacentral:rRNA from 1 species
AAUGAACGUUGGCGGCGUGGAUUAGGCAUGCAAGUCGAGCGCUCAUAGCAAUAUGGGAGCGGCGAACGGCGUAGUAAUAUGUAGGAACGUACCCUCGGGUCGGGGAUAGCCAUGGGAAACUGUGGGUAAUACCCGAUAAUCUCUGCGGAGCAAAGGUGUGAUUCCGCCUGAGGAGCGGCCUACACGAUAUUAGCUAGUUGGUAGGGUAAUGGCCUACCAAGGCUACGAUGUCUAGGGGGGUGUGAGAGCAUGGCCCCCACGACCGGAACUGAGAUACUGUCCGGACACCUACGGGUGGCUGCAGUCGAGAAUCUUCCGCAAUGGACGAAAGUCUGACGGAGCGACGCCGCGUGCGGGAUGAAGGCCCUUGGGUUGUAAACCGCUGUCAGAGGGGAUGAAAUCUUCGGAGGUGCUCCUCCAAAGUUGACAGAGCCUCAAAGGAAGCACGGGCUAAGUACGUG